CGCGCCGCCCUCCCGGGGGUUUUUAUGAAUGAAAGGGCCGUAUGCAAAUGAGCGCGGCCCGGGGGGAGCGCGAAAUGGCGGAUGCGCGGGCGGGCGGCGCGCACACGAACGCGCGUGUCCGCGUCCCUCUGUCCGCCCGCGGCCGGUGCGUCUGUCCGUCCGUGCACGGGGUGCGGGGGGUGAGCGACCCGCACCGGUUCCCGCCGGGGCAACAAAGGCUGCCCCCUCUACCGUCCCCCCCGCCCGCCCGCCGCCCCCGGCCCCGCUCACUCGUCAGGGUCCUCUGUGAUCAGGCAAUCCUGGGAGAAGAAAUGUGUCUGUACCACCUAAGCACAUCACCUUGCCCUCCAGCUUUUGCAGGCCGCUCCACUGCAGCAUCCCUUUCCCACUGAAGGAACAGAAAUGGAAUCCCGGAGAGAAAUCUGUGGACUGCUAGUAAUGAGAUAGAGGCAAGAGCUGAUGAAAGCUUUGAGGUCUUCUCCCCAGGGAGAAGCAGCAUGGCCUUUGGAGGUGGUACCAGAAUCUGCAGCUUUGUGGCACAAUAUUAUAGUAAUGCUCCAGUCACUGCUAGAGGUUCGGCCAUAACACCAGAUAAUGUGUGAGAGUGCAAGCCUGCUGCUCUCCCCUUGGCAGACUGUGGGUGCUCUUUUGGGUGGCAAUGCUGCCUGUCCCCCCACCCCCUUCCCACCCAUUCCUUUGCAAAUCACAGUUUGUCACCCCCUCGGCUGUGUUAAUGCAUCCCCCACUGAGGAGUGACACUGCUGGAUCUGCUAAAUGGUCCCAGCUAAUAAUACCCCCCAAUGCCUCUUUCUUUUGGAAAGUUAUUCAAGGAUCCAGCUUGCAGAAUGGCAUGAUAAACAUCUUGGAAAAGCUGAGCUGGCAGCAAAAGGAAGUGUCAGGGCAGGAGUAAGGGGUCGGGGGCAAGGAAAUGGUAGGAACGUCUUCAGCUGUUGUACAAUAAAAGACCAGAUGUAAUGAUUUGACAUUUCCACCCAUCCUAUGUCUUUUUUUUUUUCCCAAAGGAUGCUGAGAUUGCAUAGACUUCUAACAUGCUCAAAAUCUUUCAUGCCAAAAAUUUCUGUGAUUAGCAGGAACAUUGAUGUGCCUGAAGUGGGGAGUGUGGUAUUUAGCAGUUGGUUACUACAGAAGCAGAAUAUGGGGAGAGUUAUAGCCAUGUGAAAAACCCAGGGCACAAUCAUGUAAUUAAAAGGCCAUUAUAAUGGUUA